rnacentral:rRNA from 1 species
CUACGGAGGGUGCAAGCGUUACUCGGAAUCACUGGGCGUAAAGCGCGCGCAGGCGGCUAUUUAAGUUGGAUGUGGAAGCCUACGGCUCAACCGUAGAACUGCAUCCAAAACUAUUUAGCUAGAGUGUGGGAGAGGAAGAUGGAAUUAGUUGUGUAGGGGUAAAAUCCGUAGAGAUAACUAGGAAUACCAAAAGCGAAGGCAAUCUUCUGGAACACUACUGACGCUGAGGCGCGAAAGCGUGGGGAGCAAACAGGAUUAGAAACCCUAGUAGUCC